rnacentral:lncRNA from 1 species
GUUUCUAUGGGGUUCGAUGUUGGAGAUUGGGGUUUUUGUAUGGAAUAUCAGCUCCCUGUUCAAGCCAGCUGAAACUUCUGGAGGUGGAGAUGGUGGUUAUAUGCAUUUCUGCCACAUUUGCUGGUGUUUGGCUGGAGUAAGAUGGGCCCCAACCACUGUUAAGUGACAGCUUUGGAGACAAUAUGCAAUAAACAACCAUGAGGAAAAGACCUACAUCAGUGAAGAGAAAGGCUGACUUAUAACUGUUCCACACAUACAAAAUACUAGUAGAAAUGGCUGAGCCUUCAAUUACAAGUAAUAUUAACACUGGCAAGAAGUGGUUAUUAGAAGGAAUUAUAGAUGAAAAAAAACAAAGCAAUGUAUAAAGCCUGAAGCAUUAUGAAAUAAGACUUCAUAAAUUUUGGAAUGGUGUGAAAAGCCACUUAAAUUUUGAGAUUUACCAAAU